AGUGAACGCUGGCGGUAGGCCUAACACAUGCAAGUCGAACGGCAGCACAGUAAGAGCUUGCUCUUACGGGUGGCGAGUGGCGGACGGGUGAGGAAUACAUCGGAAUCUACUUUUUCGUGGGGGAUAACGUAGGGAAACUUACGCUAAUACCGCAUACGACCUACGGGUGAAAGCAGGGGAUCUUCGGACCUUGCGCGAUUGAAUGAGCCGAUGUCGGAUUAGCUAGUUGGCGGGGUAAAGGCCCACCAAGGCGACGAUCCGUAGCUGGUCUGAGAGGAUGAUCAGCCACACUGGAACUGAGACACGGUCCAGACUCCUACGGGAGGCAGCAGUGGGGAAUAUGGGACAAUGGGCGCAAGCCUGAUCCAGCCAUACCGCGUGGGUGAAGAAGGCCUUCGGGUUGUAAAGCCCUUUUGUUGGGAAAGAAAAGCAGCAGGUUAAUACCCCGCUGUUCUGACGGGACCCAAAGAAUAAGCACCGGCUAACUUCGU
rnacentral:rRNA from 1 species